UUUGUAGCUCAGUAGGUAGAGCGCCAGGUUGUGGCUCUGGUGGUCGCAGGUUCGAAACCUGUCA
rnacentral:tRNA from 1 species